GACAGAGGCCUCAAGCGUUAGGCGGAAUCACUGGGCUUAAAGCGUGUGUAGGCGGACUUCUAAGUGCCUUGUGAAAUCCCACGGCUCAACCGUGGAACUGCUGGGCAUACUGGGAGUCUUGGGCCAUUCAGGGGCAACUGGAACAAGCGGUGGAGCGGUGAAAUGCGUAGAUAUCAGGAGGAACACCGGUGGCGAAGGCGGUUCUCUGGGCAUUACCUGACGCUGAGGAGCGAAAGUGUGGGGAGCGAACAGG
rnacentral:rRNA from 1 species